ACGGGAGGCAGCAGUGGGGAAUAUUGGGCAAUGGGGGAAACCCUGACCCAGCAACGCCGCGUGAAGGAAGAAGGCUUUCGGGUUGUAAACUUCUUUUACCGGGGAAGAUAAUGACGGUACCCGGAGAAAAAGCUCCGGCUAACUACGUGCCAGCAGCCGCGGUAAUACGUAGGGAGCAAGCGUUGUCCGGAUUUACUGGGUGUAAAGGGCGUGUAGGCGGAGACACAAGUCAGAUGUGAAAUCUGGGGGCUCAACCCCCAAACUGCAUUUGAAACUGUGUCCCUUGAGUAUCGGAGAGGCAGGCGGAAUUCCUAGUGUAGCGGUGAAAUGCGUAGAUAUUAGGAGGAACACCAGUGGCGAAGGCGGCCUGCUGGACGACAACUGACGCUGAGGCGCGAAAGCGUGGGGAGCAAACAGGAUUAGAUACCCUGGUA
rnacentral:rRNA from 1 species